GGCGGAUGUAGCCAAGUGAAUCAAGGCAGU
rnacentral:tRNA from 13 species